rnacentral:rRNA from 1 species
UACAGAGGUCCCAAGCGUUGUCCGGAAUCACUGGGCGUAAAGGGCGCGUAGGUGGCGGCAUAAGGCCGUGGUGAAAGUCUGGGGCUCAACCCCAGAUCGGCCAUGGCGACUGUGUCGCUAGGGUACUGUAGAGGCAGGUGGAAUUCCGGGUGUAGCGGUGGAAUGCGUAGAUAUCGCUUGGAACGCCAAAGGUGAAGACAGGUGACUGGGGGUGUGCCGACGCUGAGACGCGAAAGCCAGGGGAGCAAACGGG